GAACGCACCUUGCGCCCAUUGGUAUUCCGAUGGGCAUGCCUGUUCGAGUGUCUUGAAUUCAUCGCCGCCUCCGGUUUCGCGACCGGCUGGCGGCGGACUUGGGGGUCUGCCGCGGCAACGCGGCUCCCCUUGAAUGAAUCGGUGGGGCCUCCGAGCACCCACGGGCGUUGUAUUGUCCUCGUCCGACCGGGCCUCGUGUCCCCCGCCUCGACUGCCGUAUGAGCGGUGGCCAAGCACUUUGAAAUCUGACCUCGAAUCAGGUAGGACUACCCGCUGAACUUAAG
rnacentral:misc_RNA from 1 species